rfam:Alkaliphilus metalliredigens QYMF, complete genome.
CGUUGAUAAGGGCAAACUUACUGAAAAGUAAGGACGCAAAGCCAUGAGUCUAAGGGAAGUUUUUAUUCCUAUGAUUGUCAGGUUGCAAAU